rnacentral:rRNA from 1 species
UUGGAGGGCAAGUCUGGUGCCAGCAGCCGCGGUAAUUCCAGCUCCAAUAGCGUAUAUUAAAGUUGUUGCAGUUAAAAAGCUCGUAGUUGAAUUUCGGGAUCAAAUUGUCGGUCGUGCCUCGGUACGCACUGGUAUUAUUGGUUCCUACCUUCUGAAGAACCGCGAUGUCAUUAAUUUGGUGUCGUGGGGAAUCAGGACUGUUACUUUGAAAAAAUUAGAGUGUUUAAAGCAGGCUUACGCUUGAAUACAUUAGCAUGGAAUAAUGAAAUAGGACGUUUGAUUCUAUUUUGUUGGUUUCUAGGAUUGACGUAAUGAUUAAUAGGGAUAGUUGGGGGCAUUAGUAUUCAAUUGUCAGAGGUGAAAUUCUUGGAUUUAUUGAAGACUAACUACUGCGAAAGCAUUUGCCAAGGAUGUUUUCAUUAAUCAAGAACGAAAGUUAGGGGAUCGAAGACGAUCGGAUACCGUCGUAGUCUUAACCAUAAACUAUACCGACUAGGGAUCGGAUGAUGUUAAUUCUUUUUAAUGACUCAUUCGGCGCCUUACGGGAAACCAAAGUGUUUGGGUUC